UCCCAAGCCCAUUUGUGAGGGAAAGGUUGAAGGGAUUGGUGUCAUCAGAAAUCCUUUCUCAUUUCAAUUUCCGUUCCAAGCUCUUCCUCCCUCAUUUCACACACACUUCUCAUUGGUGCUAACUCUGCCACGCCGGAGGCGGCGAAGUGACCGUAAAACAUCCUCAAUCAACACCGAAAUGAUCCUUCCUCCCUCUUCGCUCUCAAUCUCACCCUAAUCUACCCUAAAUUCCAACAAAUUCUCCCAAAUCAAAGCAAAGAAAGAACGAACCUCAAGCAUAAAAAAAACAGAAAUUAAACACUCAAGGGGGCUUGUAUGGAGCUCAAACCUUAGGGAUUUGGCUCCCACAACAAAACUACAUCAUGGUAGCGAAAAUCAAACGAGGAGAGAAGAAAUUCAUACGAACCACCAACCUACAAGGCGGAGGUGGCCUUGGUGAUCGUUGAAUCUUGAAGCUGAUGCAAACAGAGCAAGAAAAUUACAGAGAAAUCGCAGGGAUGCUUUAAAACAUCGUGAGGUCAAGUUCAUCAACAUACUUGAAGCAAGGAAAAGUCAAAAUGGUAGCGGCUUGGAGUGGAGUGAGUUAAGGGAAAUGUAGGAUAAAGUUUGGGUUAGUGGUUGAUUUUGGUCAACUGGUUGACCAAAAAUUCAAUAGUUGACCAAAGUCAACUAUAGGUCAAAGAUUGUAGUUUUUGUGUAAUUGUUUUGAUAAUUUAUUCCUUUUGUGAUGCAACUGGAUAUUUUGAAAUGAAAAUGGCCCUUUUUGAAUGAA